rnacentral:rRNA from 1 species
CCUACGGGAGGCAGCAGUAGGGAAUUUUGCGCAAUGGACGAAAGUCUGACGCAGCAAUACCGUGUGAGGGAUGAAGCAUUUCGGUGUGUAAACCUCUGUCGAUGACGAAUAAAGCAUUUGGGAGUGGAAAGCCCAGGUGUUGAAGGUAGUCAGAAAGGAAGCACCGGCUAACUCUGUGCCAGCAGCCGCGGUAAUACAGGGGGUGCAAGCGUUGUUCGGAAUUACUGGGCGUAAAGGGAGCGUAGGCGGGAUUACAAGACAGGGGUUAAAUCUCCGGGCUCAACCUGGAACUUGCCUUUGUGACUGUAGUCCUUGAAUAUGGUAGAGGUCAGUGGAAUUUCCGGUGUAGCGGUGGAAUGCGUAGAGAUCGGAAAGAACACCAGAGGCGAAGGCGACUGACUGGACCAAUAUUGACGCUGAGGCUCGAAAGCGUGGGGAGCAAACAGGAUUAGAUACCCUGGUAGUCCACGCUGUAAACGAUGAACACUAGAUGUCGGGAGGGUUCCUUCCGGUGUCGUCGCUAACGCAGUAAGUGUUCCGCCUGGGGNGGUACGUUCGCGAGAGUAGAACGUACGAAGGAAAGUUAGUACGGCGUGAGACGUGACCGACGGACGACGACGAGGGAGGUUAGGG